CCGCGGCAGCGCCCGCCCCGCGCCGCCAUCUUGAGCGCGGCGCGGCCGCGGCGCGGCGCCAUCUUGAGGGCGGCGCCGCCAUGGUGGGAGUGGCGGGUGCCGGGAGUCAGGGAGCACCGGGAUCGCUCGCGGUGGAAAAAGCUCUGAGCUCAUCGAGUCUAAUCUUUGACCGAACACCACCGUGUCAAGCAGACCAGAGCGCUGAGUGCCGUGUCCAGGCUUUCCUUAAACGCCUCCAGGGACGGUGACUCCACCACCCACCUGGGCACCCCCUUCCAGUAUCUGACAAACCUUCCUGUGAAGAAAUGCUUCCUGAUGUCCAUCCUGACCCUCCUCUGGCACAGUUUAACACCAUUUCCUCUCAUCGUGCCCUUUGCUCCCUGAGAGCAGAGCCUCUGUCUCACUACAACGUCCUGUCAGAAACUGGAGAGCAAGAAGGUCCCCCUGAUCCUCCUUUUCUCCAGGCUGAGCCCCCUCCAGCUUCCUCAGCUGCUCCUGGUGCUCAAGCCCCUUCCUCAGCCCCAUUCCCUUCUCCAGACACGCCCCAGUGCCUCAAUGGCCUUCUGGGAUUGAGACACCUGGAAUUGGACAGAGCCCUCAGGGUGUGAACUCUCCAGUUGCGAGUACAGGGGCAGAAUCACUGCUGUGGGACACACCAUAGGAUACUAGAAUGGUUUGGGUUGGAACUUAAAAGAUCAUCUUGUUAUCUUGUUCCCCCUGCUGCCAUGGACAGGGACACCUUCCGUUAUCCCAGGUUGCUCCAAGCCAUGUCCAAACUGCCCUUGGACACUUCCAGGGAUGGGGCAGCCACAGCUUCUCUGGGCACCCUGUGCCAGGGCCUCCCCACCCUCACAGGGAAGAAUUCCUUCCCAAUAUCACCAUCCUACCCUUCACUGAUGUGCAGAGGGCCAUGCAGAAUCACCCAGGGCUGCUGUGCCUGCUGCUGUGACCACAGCCAUCACACAGCCAUGUCCAAGGAGAGCAGCUGGCUCCAGCAGUGUAGCUCCACAUAGUUCCUAUCCCAAAUCUCAAGUACAGACAGGACCAGAGCGCUGGAAUUUCCAGCUUGUGAGAGAGCUCUGGAGUCAAAGAGGAAAACCAUUUUUAGCUCUUAGAUGAGAGACAGCCUCUGCAGAGGAUCUGUACCUGCUUUGUUUGUCAUGUGUUUCACUUAAAUAAAAGGUAAUCACAAAUUAAAUCCGGA